rnacentral:rRNA from 1 species
UACAGAGGGUGCGAGCGUUGUCCGGAAUCACUGGGCGUAAAGGGCGCGUAGGCGGCCUGAUAAGUAGGGGGUGAAAUCCUGUGGCUUAACUGCAGGGCUGCCUCCUAGACUGUUAGGCUCGAGCACGGUAGAGGCAGAUGGAAUUCCCGGUGUAGCGGUGGAAUGCGUAGAGAUCGGGAAGAACAUCGGUGGCGAAGGCGGUCUGCUGGGCCGUUGCUGACGCUGAGGCGCGAAAGCUAGGGGAGCGAACGGG